rnacentral:lncRNA from 1 species
AAUGAGAUGCUGUCCUAUUUUUAAAAUACUUUUCUUGAAUGGCUUGGCAGGCUAUGGUGCUGGGGACAGAGAUAUACCAAGAGCUAUAAUCAGCACCCAGAAUUGGAGCCAUUCAAGUUGUAAGUAUUGUCAAAAUUCUGCCCGCUGUGGGUUUGGUCCUGAGAGCUGUACCUCAUGGUAAAGAGUCCUGACUAGACCCUAAGACAGCCCCGUCAGGGGGAAGAGGCCCUGGCCACAGGGGAUCAGGCGACCUGUUUCUGGGAACAGAGCCAUCUGUUUGUGUAGGACCCAGGUCACAUUUUAAGGACACUUUGACCUUUAGCACUUCAGGUGGUGAGUGUAUUAGUUUAACCACUGCACUUACUCAUAAUAGUCAGACAAUUCAGGAUUAGGCAUAUGAAAGAGCAACUAUUAAGAGAGACAGCCCAGUCCCCCUUGAGAGUUCUUCAAGGAUGAACCCAAAAGAUUUGGGAAACAGAACUGUGCAUGACCACUAGUUCAGGCAUUUAAAGCUGGAUUCAUUUAGAAGCUAAGUAUUUUGAAAGAGGUAAAGGCAAUGGACCUUAAAAUCAAAUAUAAUCCCAAAUGCACAGGUGCCUUCUUCCUGUAAAUUUCCACCAUCCCUCCUGACAAGCUGUAGGAGGAAGGGAGCUAGAGUGAUUUUAAUGGACAACCUCUGACAGUGGGCAGACUGCCUGCCAGGACUGACCCCUGCCAGCAGGAUGAGGGGCAAGGUGAAGCUGAGAGACUGAGCAUAUCUAGGCACCCAGCAGUACAUUUAAAGAGGGCUCUUAACCAGUCCUCUGGGCCUGGGGCCAAGCAGCAGGUCCUUCUGUGUUGUUUUAGUGCAGUGAGCACUGGAUUUAACUGGGAGUUUUCCUUGGUGAACUAUCUGUGUGCCACAGAGGUCAAAAGAACCCCAGCUUUCCCAGUCACCCCGCCCCCCCCAGGUCCCACCCUAUAAACUCACACUCUUCUUUCUAGAAUGCCACCUCGUGGUGAAGUGACAUGUUGCUUUAAAAGACAGAAGAUGGGUGGAUGAAUGGAUAAAGAAGUUGUGGUAUAGGUAUGCAAUGGAAUAUUAUUCUGCCAUAAAAAUGAGGAAAUCCUGCCAUUUUCGACAACAUGGUUUGACCUAUAGGGCGUGAUGCUAAGUGAAAUGAGUCAGACAGAGAGAGACAAAUACUGCAUGAUCUCACUGAUAUGUGGAAUCUAAGAAAAACCCACAAACUCAGAGAAAAAGAGAUCAGAUUAUCUGUGGUUACCAGAAGCUGGGGUGGAGGUGGGGGGAGUAAGGGAGAGUGGGUAUCGGAGGAAGGUGGUCAAAAGGUACAAACUUCCAGUUAUGAGAUAAAUAAGUACUAGGGACGUAGUGAACAACACGACGACUAUAGUUAACAUGCUCCAUGAUACACAUGAAGGUUGUUGAGAGAGUAGAUCCUGAGUUCUCAUCAGAAAGAAAAAAAAUUUUUUUCUUUUUAUUGUAUCCAUAUGAGAUGAAUCUUAACUAAACUUAUCGUGGUAAUCACUUCACAAUAUAAGUCAAACCAUUAUGCUUUAUCUCUUAAACUUCUACAGUGUUGUAUGUCAGUUAUAUCUUAAUAAAGCUGGAAAAAAGUUUUUAAAAGGAGGAGGA